AUUGAACGCUGGCGGCAGGCCUAACACAUGCAAGUCGAACGAGUGGCAGAAGGGUGAGUAAUGUCUGGGAAACUGCCCGAUGGAGGGGGAUAACUACUGGAAACGGUAGCUAAUACCGCAUACCAUCGGAUGUGCCCGAAGGGAUUAGCGAGUAGGUGGGGUAACGGCUCACCUAGGCGACGAUCCCUAGCUGGUCUGAGAGGAUGACCAGCCACACUGGAACUGCGACACGGUCCAGACUCCUACGGGAGGCAGCAGGUGGGAAUAUUGGACAAUGGGCGAAAGCCUGAUCCAGCCAUGCGGCGUGUGUGAAGAAGGUCUGCGGAUUGUAAAGCACUUUCAGCGGGGAGGCGUUACCCGCAGAAGAAGCACCGGCUAACUCCGUGCCAGCAGCCGCGGUAAUAC
rnacentral:rRNA from 1 species